rnacentral:rRNA from 1 species
AUGGGGAACUUCCGCAAGCUCGGCCGCCACGCCGCCCACCGCGUCUCCAUGCUCAGGACGAUGGUGUCGCAGCUGGUAAAGCACGAGCGGAUCGAGACCACCGUCGCCAAGGCGAAGGAGGUGCGGCGGAAGGCGGAUCAGAUGGUGCAGCUCGGGAAAGAUGGUACACUAGAUGCAGCAAGACGUGCCUCGGCAUUUGUUCGGGGUGAUGACGUCGUUCACAAGUUAUUCACAGAGCUUGCGUACCGCUACAAGGAUCGAGCUGGUGGGUAUACAAGACUAUUGCGAACCAGGAUACGAAUUGGCGAUGCUGCACCAAUGGCUUACAUCGAGUUUGUCGACCGGGAGAAUGAACUUCGUGAGGCCAAACCUGCGACUCCACCGCCACCCCAGCGUGCCCCUCUUGAUCCAUGGACCAAGUCCCAUGCCAGCCAACAGUGGGCAGGGCCUAAAGUCAGCCAGAACUCCAAAACAGAAGGGCUAUGA